AACUUUCUAACAUCAAUACUCAAUUGAUAAAACAAAACAAUAACGGAUACGGUGUAAAAUCCGAAAUUAAAUCAAAAAUAAAACCGGAAAAAAAAGCAACACAACAACAAGUGGUCGUGAGGAAAAAAUAGUGGCCGUCAAUAUGCGGUGAAACAGGAAUAUACAUCCUAAUGGAAAUUGAAACAAAAACGAAAACCCAGUAGCAACACAACAACACAAUAGAUAUAUAUGAAAAAAAACUCAAAAACCUCACCGAAACAACAACUUCU
rnacentral:lncRNA from 1 species